rnacentral:rRNA from 1 species
GAAGCCAAGCUUGCUUGGUGGAUCAGUGGCGAACGGGUGAGUAACACGUGAGCAACCUGCCCUGGACUCUGGGAUAAGCGCUGGAAACGGCGUCUAAUACUGGAUAUGAGACGUGAUCGCAUGGUCGUGUUUGGAAAGAUUUUUCGGUCUGGGAUGGGCUCGCGGCCUAUCAGCUUGUUGGUGAGGUAAUGGCUCACCAAGGCGUCGACGGGUAGCCGGCCUGAGAGGGUGACCGGCCACACUGGGACUGAGACACGGCCCAGACUCCUACGGGAGGCAGCAGUGGGGAAUAUUGCACAAUGGGCGAAAGCCUGAUGCAGCAACGCCGCGUGAGGGAUGACGGCCUUCGGGUUGUAAACCUCUUUUAGCAGGGAAGAAGCGAAAGUGACGGUACCUGCAGAAAAAGCGCCGGCUAACUACGUGCCAGCAGCCGCGGUAAUACGUAGGGCGCAAGCGUUAUCCGGAAUUAUUGGGCGUAAAGAGCUCGUAGGCGGUUUGUCGCGUCUGCUGUGAAAUCCCGAGGCUCAACCUCGGGCCUGCAGUGGGUACGGGCAGACUAGAGUGCGGUAGGGGAGAUUGGAAUUCCUGGUGUAGCGGUGGAAUGCGCAGAUAUCAGGAGGAACACCGAUGGCGAAGGCAGAUCUCUGGGCCGUAACUGACGCUGAGGAGCGAAAGGGUGGGGAGCAAACAGGCUUAGAUACCCUGGUAGUCCACCCCGUAAACGUUGGGAACUAGUUGUGGGGACCAUUCCACGGUUUCCGUGACGCAGCUAACGCAUUAAGUUCCCCGCCUGGGGAGUACGGCCGCAAGGCUAAAACUCAAAGGAAUUGACGGGGACCCGCACAAGCGGCGGAGCAUGCGGAUUAAUUCGAUGCAACGCGAAGAACCUUACCAAGGCUUGACAUAUACGAGAACGGGCCAGAAAUGGUCAACUCUUUGGACACUCGUAAACAGGUGGUGCAUGGUUGUCGUCAGCUCGUGUCGUGAGAUGUUGGGUUAAGUCCCGCAACGAGCGCAACCCUCGUUCUAUGUUGCCAGCACGUAAUGGUGGGAACUCAUGGGAUACUGCCGGGGUCAACUCGGAGGAAGGUGGGGAUGACGUCAAAUCAUCAUGCCCCUUAUGUCUUGGGCUUCACGCAUGCUACAAUGGCCGGUACAAAGGGCUGCAAUACCGUGAGGUGGAGCGAAUCCCAAAAAGCCGGUCCCAGUUCGGAUUGAGGUCUGCAACUCGACCUCAUGAAGU